UGGAUUUGAAAGGAAUCUAAAUGGAUCCAGUGCUGCAAAUACAUCAUAUGCUCAGCCCUCUGGACUUUCCUUGUCUCCGGAUUUGUCAGAGAUUUAUAUUGCUGACAGUGAGAGUAGUUCCAUUCGAGCAGUUGACCUAAAAACAGGUGGAUCAAGAUUGUUGGCUGGGGGUGACCCAAUUUUCUCAGACAAUUUAUUUAAGUUUGGAGAUCAUGAUGGUGUAGGAUCUGAAGUACUACUUCAACAUCCAUUGGGGGUCUUGUGCUCAAACAAUGGUCAAAUAUAUAUAGCAG
rnacentral:misc_RNA from 1 species